rnacentral:rRNA from 1 species
GACGAGGGGUCCUAGCGUUGCUCGGAAUCAUUGGGCGUAAAGCGUAUGUAGGCGGUUUAAUAAGUCAGGUGUGAAAUCCCUGGGCUCAACCCAGGACGUGCAUUUGAUACUGUUAAACUUGAGUAUGGGAGAGGAUAGUAGAAUUCCUGGUGUAGUGGUGAAAUACGUAGAUAUCAGGAGGAAUACCGGUGGCGAAGGCGGCUAUCUGGCCCAAUACUGACGCUGAGAUACGAAAGCGUGGGGAUCAAACAGG